rnacentral:rRNA from 1 species
GAUGAACGCUGGCGGCGUGCCUAACACAUGCAAGUCGAGCGAAGCACUUUGCUUAGAUUCUUCGGAUGAAGAGGAUUGUGACUGAGCGGCGGACGGGUGAGUAACGCGUGGGUAACCUGCCUCAUACAGGGGGAUAACAGUUAGAAAUGACUGCUAAUACCGCAUAAGACCACAGCACCGCAUGGUGCGGGGGUAAAAACUCCGGUGGUAUGAGAUGGACCCGCGUCUGAUUAGCUAGUUGGUAAGGUAACGGCUUACCAAGGCGACGAUCAGUAGCCGACCUGAGAGGGUGACCGGCCACAUUGGGACUGAGACACGGCCCAAACUCCUACGGGAGGCAGCAGUGGGGAAUAUUGCACAAUGGGGGAAACCCUGAUGCAGCGACGCCGCGUGAGCGAAGAAGUAUUUCGGUAUGUAAAGCUCUAUCAGCAGGGAAGAAAAUGACGGUACCUGACUAAGAAGCACCGGCUAAAUACGUGCCAGCAGCCGCGGUAAUACGUAUGGUGCAAGCGUUAUCCGGAUUUACUGGGUGUAAAGGGAGCGUAGACGGAUGGGCAAGUCUGAUGUGAAAACCCGGGGCUCAACCCCGGGACUGCAUUGGAAACUGUUCAUCUAGAGUGCUGGAGAGGUAAGUGGAAUUCCUAGUGUAGCGGUGAAAUGCGUAGAUAUUAGGAGGAACACCAGUGGCGCAGGCGGCUUACUGGACAGUAACUGACGUUGAGGCUCGAAAGCGUGGGGAGCAAACAGGAUUAGAUACCCUGGUAGUCCACGCCGUAAACGA